AGGCAUAGCAGUCCACGCCAUGCGAGCGCUGCAAGGACAUGCUGCGCAAGACUACAGAACUACAGAAGGACCGAACAAGAACCAUAUUGCUCAUUUUUCAGAACAAGAUGCAAUUUUUAGACGAGGCUCAUAAAUUUCAGCCGCCAAUGGGCCCGAGCACACAGGAAAAAUUCUCCUUAUGUUGAUUGGCCAUGCUUCCCUUUGCAGUGUUGAGAACUUGGGAUCCUCUGAAUGAAUUCGCUACGGCGAAGGGAUGGGCCUUCC
rnacentral:lncRNA from 1 species